rnacentral:lncRNA from 1 species
GGGACCAUGAGGAUGAUGCCUAGGGUUGACUAUGCAAAACAAGUCUGGCUUCUGAGUCAGAGAAAAAGCUGAGUUCACAAACAGCCCUUCGAUUGCUUCCCAUUUUGUGUGGGAUGCUGCAUGGUUAUAGGACUCAAAAAUAUACAGCCUAUCCUUUUGUGUUGCAGGUUGUUACAGAGCCCAGGGUAGCUAGCAUAUAAUAUGCUGACUCCACUUUAAAACCAUUUGCUGGCAAUAGGCUUAAUGGCAUCCUCCAAAAGAAGAAAGUUGUUAAUUAUGGGGUCACACAGUGAAAUUCUUAGCAUCAGUCAUGUGUAUAUUUUUGUUAAAUCUUUAAUAUAAUGCUUUAUAUAUCAAUUUGUUGAAUCAUUGAAACUUGGAGAUAGAUGAAGAAACAGGACUACACUCAUACAGAAAUGAUAGGCACACUUAGUUUUUUUCUUUAUAAUGAGAGAUGUGGAGCAUGGUGACAAUCAAGAGGCAUUAUUUCAACUUUCUACUGAAGGCUUAUGUGAUCAGGCAAAUCAUUUCUCUGAACCUUAGUUUCCUCAAUGGUCACAUGGGAAGAUAAGGCUCAAUCAAUAGAGUUGAUCCAUCAAAUGAGAUAACAGAUUUGAAGUAUUUUACAACAUGCCCAAGAGUGGCACAGAUAGGAUUUUAAAAAUUCCAAUCAAUGCUCCUCCUCCUCAUAAAUUUUUUUUAAUGGUAAUAAUUUUUUCCUUCCUUUCUACAUUCCUUAAUAGCACUUAAUCCCACAUAUACUUCAAUUCUAUAUUAAGAUUUUAAGUUCUUGCUAACACAAUGUUCCCUUAACUAGAAAACUGAGAAACAAAAAUGCAGUGUUUAUCAAAGUGCCUUCAUUUUAUUCCCCCAUUGGCAUCUGAGGAGAAACUGUUCACUUUCUCUCUAUAAAAGUGUCUUGGUAUCCUAAAAUAGUUCAAGAGACUUCUAAGAUCCCUAAAAUGGAGUUGUUAUUACAGGAUCCAGGAGAUCAUGACUCAUGAUAGUUCUGUAUUAGUCUGUUGGACAAUUAAAAACUGUUUCAAAUAACGUGGUGGUGGGGAAGCUUAAUAGAGUUCUGAAAUAAUACAACAAAGAUGACUUGAAAAAAAAAAAAAAAGCUGAAACACUGCGUCUGAAACCAAUAACAGGAUAUGAUGAGGAUCCGGCCCUGGAGGACAGAGUGCAAACAUGAUGUACUUGAAUCUAGAAAUUUUGCAUCACAUCCUUCCAGAGCAUGUGUGAUUAAAUGCAGUUUGAAGAUGAAUGGGAAACUUUCUAUCCAACUGUUCCUAAGCAUAGAGUUCACCCUGCUAAAAUAGGUAACUGAUAAUAUGUAGCACACAUUUCGAUUAAUAAGCAAUCAAAAUGAUAAUGGCUCACCAUCGUCAUGCACGGCAAGUAGUAUUAAAUAUUUUCCUUUUGGGUAAAACUGCAUUCACAUUUCACAGUGGAUGAUUUUAUCUAAUGAAAUGCCAAGUAUUUUUUUUCUGAAAACAAUUUUCAGUGGAUGGAAUUAUUGAUUUGUGGUCCACACAAAGAAUAUGCUCACAGAGAAGACAUUGUUCUAUUUUUGAUCUUACUGAAUUUAAAGUCUUUUUGGACAUCCUGAUAGUUGAGAAUGAAUGGGCAAAGACAGACCUGAAGCUACAUUUUGGGAGAGAGCUGAAUUACUAUAAAAAAUUCAGUGACUGGAGGAUAGUGUGGGACAAUGAAGCUGUGGAGGGAAA